rnacentral:lncRNA from 1 species
GAACUGAACCUGGCGAGGGAUGUGAAAAAUAAGACAUUCUACAGGAAAGAAUAAUCUGAAUAGGAAGAUCAUCAUGUCAACUGUAAGACGAGUCUAGAAAAGUUUUCUGGGUCAAAUCAUCUGAGGAGAAAAACAGCAACUUGCGUAACCUAUGGAGAACUAAAAGAAGUCAUGAAAGACCACCUGGAGUUACCAGGCCAACCC